ACAAAUAAAAAACAGAGUAUACUAUAGUUAGAUUAAAAUACAGAGAGCAUUAGACAUAGACUGCUGCUAUUUUCUCUUCACGUGGACCAGUGUGGGGGCAUAUGAGGCUCCAUCUCUCUCUCUCUCUUUCUUCCUAUCUCUCUUAUACAUAGAAUAGCCGUCAAUCCGUUGCUCAUAAGUCAUAGCCUCGAGAGACAGGCAGAUAGAUAGAGAGAGGGGGAGAGAGAGAGAGAGAUAAAACUCAAAACUUGAUAUUGUCAACAGUCAACACGAACAGCUCAUCAAAUUCUCUUUAGAAAAGAUAGUGGGUUGGUGAUUUGAAGAAAGAGGCAAGGGCAGAGGCAGAGCAUAAUUUAUGUAGCUGGGUAUUCCGGUUAUGUCUAUCGCCGGCGGCUGGAGGCUUUUGCACUCUUCUCUGGUGGUGAUUUUGGUCAUUUCUGUGUUACAGAUUUGGGUCUGCUGUGACUGCAAAGCAGGCGCAAUACGGGUUUUCCCAGGACACACAAAUGCGUUAUCAAAGGGGGAGGCAGAGAGCAGCAACACGAUGCAGAGCAAGAGCAACAGAAGCAGAGAGGCCCUGUUCCAUAAGUACUUCGGUGGCAGUGUCAGAGCUUCUAAAUUCAACAAAACAGAGCAAGGGUAUGAAGACAGCAAACGAAGAGUGCCCAGUUGCCCAGAUCAACUCCACAACUAAUUUGUGGAGGAUCCAGAAAUGGAUAAUGAUCAUGAAUCAUGAUGUGCAGUGUACAGAGAGAAGUUGAGAAAUUUGGUUUUGCAGUGACCAGCUUAUAUUUUGUACUACCUGCUAUAGCUAGAAUCUCCGUAUCUACAACUUUUCAAGAUCCUCUCUUUCGUUUUUUAGCUUUUGCUUUUGGGAUCAGAAGAUCGAAUAUCAUAUGAGGAAGAGUGUGGCAGAUAAUUUGCAAAUUUACACACACAGAUUCUUGCUUUCCCACUGCAACAAUACAAACACCUUUUUUUUUCUUUUUUUCUAAACUUUUGCAAGGAAUGUUUGCUACUAGUGUGGCAUCUUCCUUGCGUGAAUGAACAAAAGUGAAUGCUCCUGUUUUGGUGAAA